rnacentral:rRNA from 1 species
AAGCUCGUAGUUGAAUUUCGGGAUCAAUGUUUCGGUCAUGCCGUUGGUAUGCACUGAUAUUAUUGAUUUCUCACCUUCUAAAGAACCGUAAUGCCAUUAAUUUGGUGUCACGGGGAAUUAGGACUGUUACCUUGAAAAAAUUAGAGUGUUUAAAGCAGGCUCACGCUUGAAUACAUUAGCAUGGAAUAAUGAAAUAGGACAUCCGAUUCUAUUUUGUUGGUUUCUAGGAUCGAUGUAAUGAUUAAUAGGGAUAGUUGGG